UGGGGAAUUUUGGACAAUGGGGGAAACCCUGAUCCAGCCAUCCCGCGUGUGCGAUGAAGGCCUUUGGGUUGUAAAGCACUUUUGGCAGGAAAGAAACGUCAUGGGUUAAUACCCCGUGAAACUGACGGUACCUGCAGAAUAAGCACCGGCUAACUACGUGCCAGCAGCCGCGGUAAUACGUAGGGUGCAAGCGUUAAUCGGAAUUACUGGGCGUAAAGCGUGCGCAGGCGGUUCGGAAAGAAAGAUGUGAAAUCCCAGAGCUCAACUUUGGAACUGCAUUUUUAACUACCGGGCUAGAGUGUGUCAGAGGGAGGUGGAAUUCCGCGUGUAGCAGUGAAAUGCGUAGAUAUGCGGAGGAACACCGAUGGCGAAGGCAGCCUCCUGGGAUAACACUGACGCUCAUGCACGAAAGCGUGGGGAGCAAACAGG
rnacentral:rRNA from 1 species